UGGGGAAUAUUGCACAAUGGAGGGAACUCUGAUGCAGCGACGCCGCGUGAGUGAUGAAGGAAUUCGUUUCGUAAAACUCUGUUCUAUGGGAAGAAAAGGACUGUACCAUAGGAGAAAGCUCCGGCUAAAUACGUGCCAGCAGCCGCGGUAAUACGAAUGGAGCGAGCGUUGUCCGGAAUUAUUGGGCGUAAAGGGUGCGCAGGCGGCUUUACAAGUUGGAUGUGAAAUAUUGUGGCUCAACCACAAACGUGCAUCCAAAACUGCAAAGCUUGAGUUAAGGAGAGGUAAGUGGAAUUCCUGGUGUAGCGGUGGAAUGCGUAGAUAUCAGGAGGAAUACCGGUGGCGAAGGCGACUUACUGGACUUAAACUGACGCUCAGGCACGAAAGCGUGGGGAGCAAACAGG
rnacentral:rRNA from 1 species